rnacentral:lncRNA from 1 species
AUGGUGUUCAGGGAGUUCGUGGAGGUUGCCCGGGUGGCCUACGUCUGCUUUGGACCUCAUGCUGGAAAACCGGUCGCGACUACAGAUGUUAUUGAUGGGAAGAGGGCUUUGGUUGAUGGACCGUGCACUCAAAGGAGGAGACAGGCCAUGCCUUUCAAGCACAGGCAGCUCACAGAUUUCCUCCUCAAGCUUCCACACCGCGCCCGCCAGAGGUACGUCCGACAGGCCUGGCAGAAGCUACACAUCAACACAGAAUGGGCAGCCAGACGAGGGGCCAAGAAGAUGGAAGCCAGAGAAAGGAAAGGCAAAAUGACACAGUUCAAUCGUUUUAAAGUUAUGCAAGCAAAGAACAUGGGAACACAACCAUCAGGAAUGAAAUGAAGAAGCUUCAAAAAGCCAAGACGACAGAUUUGGAUCAUUUUAAAGUUAUGAAGGCAAAGAAAAUGAGGAACAGAAUUAUCGAGAAUAAAGUUAAGACGCUUCAAAAGGCAGCCCUCCUGAAAGCUUCUUCCAAAAAGGCACCUGCUGCUAAGGGGUACGGCUGCAGCUGCAGCUGCUGGUAAAGUUCCAGCGAAAAAGAUGACCGCCGUGCGUAAGAAGGCUACAGCCCAGAAGAUUCUUUCCCAGAAAGCCGCAGGCCAGAAGGCAGCGCCUGCUCCAAAAGUUCAGAGGACUCAAAAAACCUGCCACAGAGGCUCCCGCUCCAAAGGCAUGUGGCAACAAAGCAUAA